UGUGGCAUUAGCGUGUUUGCACAAAUUUAAGGAAACAGUUCGAACCACCGGUCAGAGCAGCUGAAAUGGAUCUGAGAAGGUUGACGAGGUCAGACCUGCUGUUGUUGUGCAAUGAGUUGGGAGUGGAUGUGGACAAGAAUAUGAAAAAACCAGCUAUCCAAAAGGCAAUUAAGGAAAGUGAAAAUGACGAUGAGAGUA
rnacentral:lncRNA from 1 species